GAAAUGCGUUAAGUAGUGUGAAUUGCAGAAUUCAGUGAAUCAUCGAAUCUUUGAACGCACAUUGCGCCCCUUGGUAUUCCAUGGGGCAUGCCUGUUCGAGCGUCAUUUGUACCCUCAAGCUCUGCUUGGUGUUGGGUGUUUGUCCCCGUCUCCGCGCGUGGACUCGCCCCAAAGUGAUUGGCAGCCGGCGUACUGGUCCCGGAGCGCAGCACAUGUCGCGCAAACGAGUGCCUUGGUACGGCGGCGUCCAUAAGCCCCUCUCUCACGCUCUUGACCUCGGAUCAGGUAGGGAUACCCGCUGAACUUAAGC
rnacentral:misc_RNA from 1 species